rnacentral:rRNA from 1 species
AGUCUGCAACUCGACUGCAUGAAGUCGGAAUCGCUAGUAAUCGCGGAUCAGCAUGCCGCGGUGAAUACGUUCCCGGGUCUUGUACACACCGCCCGUCAAACAAUGGGAGUGGUGUUUACCAGAAGUCGUUAGCCUAACCGCAAGGAGGGCGGCGACCACGGUGAGCACCGUGACUAAUGUUAAGUCGUAACAAGGUAAC